UGGGGAAUCUUGCACAAUGGGGGCGACCCUGAUGCAGCGACGCCGCGUGAGCGAUGAAGCCCUUCGGGGCGUAAAGCUCUUUCGACCGGAACGAUAAUGACGGUACCGGGAGAAGAAGCUGCGGCUAACUACGUGCCAGCAGCCGCGGUAAUACGUAGGCAGCAAGCGUUGUUCGGAGUUACUGGGCGUAAAGAGUGCGUAGGCGGUUUUCUAAGUUCGGUGUGAAAUCUCCCGGCUUAACUGGGAGGGUGCGCCGAAGACUGGGAAGCUGGACUGUGGGAAAGGCAGGCGGAAUUCCUGGUGUAGCGAUGAAAUGCGUAGAUAUCAGGAGGAACACCGGCGGUGUAGACGGCUUGCUAGACCAUAACUGACGCUGAGGCACGAAAGCGUGGGUAGCAAAC
rnacentral:rRNA from 1 species